UACAGAGGUCUCAAGCGUUGUUCGGAUUCAUUGGGCGUAAAGAGCUCGUAGGCGGUCUGUCGCGUCUGCUGUGAAAAUCCAGGGCUCAACCCUGGACCUGCAGUGGGUACGGGCAGACUAGAGUGCGGUAGGGGAGAUCGGAAUUCCUGGUGUAGCGGUGAAAUGCGCAGAUAUCAGGAGGAACACCGGUGGCGAAGGCGGAUCUCUGGGCCGUAACUGACGCUGAGGAGCGAAAGCAUGGGGAGCGAACAGG
rnacentral:rRNA from 1 species